AUCAUUUCUACUACAGUGGCGGAGCCGUACAGGACCUGUUUCACUGCAGGGGGAUCCAAAACAAGCCCCGUGGAGCAGCAGCCAGAGCAACAGCAGCCGCAAGACAUUGUUUCUCUCCCUCUGCCCCCCUUCCCCACGCAACCCCAGAUCCAUUUACACUUUACAGUUUUACCUCACAAAAUCUACUACAAGCACCAAGCUCCCUGAUGGAAAGGAGCAUCGUGCAUCAAGUCACCAGGGUGGUCCAUUCAAGCUGCAGAUUUGUUUGUCAUCCUUGUGCAACAAUCUCCUCCUCCACUGCCACUACAGGGAAGUGCAUCACAUGUCAGGUCACAGAACAGAAAGUGCUGGUGGACAUCUCUUCUUGCCCCAAGAUCUUCGUUGGAAGUCCCCGGGACUUGGUGUCUUUGCCGUUCAAAGUGUUUAUGAACUCGCCAGGAGGCAUAAUGUGUCACCAUUUUAUUCUGGGCCACCCUAAAGGAUGACACCCAGCUUCAGAGACCUCCUCUUGGACGACAUCCCUGAGAAUCAAUGUUUUAGCUGUCCCAUAGUCUGACAUCUGUUUCUGAUCGCUUUUGAGCUGGCACAGGCUUAGUCAUUAAUGGCCAGGACGAUGUUAAAUGUUCUGCCUGAUUGGCUUGCAGCU
rnacentral:sRNA from 1 species